rnacentral:rRNA from 1 species
CAGUAGCCGCGGUAAUACGUAGGUGGCAAGCGUUGUCCGGAAUUACUGGGCGUAAAGCGCACGUAGGCGGCUUGGUAAGUUAGAGGUGAAAGCCCAGGGCUCAACCCUGGAAUUGCCUUUAAGACUGCCGAGCUAGUAGGUGAGAGAGGUGAGUGGAAUUCCGAGUGUAGAGGUGAAAUUCGUAGAUAUUCGGAAGAACACCAGUGGCGAAGGCGGCUCACUGGCUCAUUCUAGACGCUGAGGUGCGAAAGCGUGGGGAGCAAACAGGAUUAGAUACCCGCGUAGUCCCUGUCUCUUAUAC